CUAUAUAAUAAUAGUAGUUAAUUGUACUGUGCAUUAGUAAAGUUUGUGUUUUGGUGUUUCAGUGCACCAGACACUGCAGGGACUCUAAACAAAAAGCUUUCCAGUUCUUAUAGUCUAAAUAAAUGAUGAGGUUCUGUAAAGGUAAACUGGUUUGGCUUGCUUUCCUGAUGAAAGAGGUGAGUGGGGAGUGGGGACCCAAUGAUGAAUUUACAAGUCAAGUCAGGGUAAAGUGAGCUGUUUAACCUAGUUUUGUGAUCGAUUUGCAGAAAUGUAGCAUUACAUCACUUGCUCAGCAAUGGGUCCUCUGCAGUGAAUGGGUGCCGUCAGAAUGAGAGUCCAAACAGCUGAUAAAAACAUCACAAUAAUCCACAAGUAAUCCAAUAUUAUAAAUUAUGGACGCACAUUUUAGCUGGAAGAAACAGUCUUAAGUUGAAAACACUUUAAUGAUGGAUUUGUUUCUUACAUACAGCUUUUCACUUCACAAGACAUUAAUUGAUGGACUGGUCUGGUGUGGACUACUGUAAAGUGUUACUAAGUUGCUCACAGUAUUUUUUCCUCAAUGAAUCACAUGAUCAGCUUAAUACCGCUGACUUUAUCUUGGUAACUUGGUGACAGAGUAAGUCAAAGACCACAGUUGUAUUUUGUUUUAUAUUGCAUUAUUUAAAAGUAUAUGUUAUUGAUUUUAGAGCUGGAUUCCAGUGUUCUUUAAAAAGAGAGUGUGCAUUUGUGACAUUUGUGGAGGACUCUUUCAUGUAAGAUGACUUUUGACUUUAAGUGAGUAUUCAGAACCUCUUUGUAAGAGCACAGAUCCUCCAAGGUUUUUUUAUUUAUUUUUAUUAUUAUUAUUAUUUUGUACCAAUGGCAGUAUGUGUCAGUGUGUGUCCACGAGAGACUUCUACCCCUCAGCACAGCCAUUGUCAGUCACUGGGACAGCACACAGCACUCCUCUGAGCAGCCCACAGAUGCCUAUGGAGAACUGGAGUUUGUAGGGGCUGGCAAGAGACACAGCUAUGAGUGGAUCAUAACCGCAGGACUGAGGGAAGGCAUCGGCAAGUGUGUAGGAGAGGCUGUGAGAGAUCAGGCCACUGCAGUGUCUUCUGUACCUUGAUUUGGACAAGCAUUAGAUACAUCUCUGAUGAAUUCAAUGCCCUGAUUAGUCCUGGCUGGUUCGGGUGGGCUUGCCAAUCUUGUGAGUGACAUUGUGGACAACGUGCAGUCUGCUUCGGUGCCUGUACUUGGAGCAGAGAAGAAGGAAGCCACUCCCAAUGUGGAGCUUAGAGAACGAAUAGCCAUGAAAGUAAAAAAAUACUUUCCUUCAGAGCGAGACAUGGACAAGCUUGUUGACAAGGUGAACGUCACACUCUUUACUUAAUCAUGUAACACCAUCAAAGUGGGCUAUUUUGUGUCAGAACUUAAGAAACCUCCCCAGCUCAAAUUUUGGAUUUUUUAAAGCAUUUUUCUGAAGAAAGACAAACAUAA
ensembl:lncRNA